AACCCAUAGUGAUGACACCUUCUCAAUAAAUCCUUAUACCUCUCCUAUGCACCAUAUAAGGUCUCUAAAUCCAUUUGCACAAAGGAAGAGAUAUCAUUCCUUAGCUU
rfam:Gossypium hirsutum cultivar TM-1 chromosome 8, whole genome shotgun sequence